GGUUGAUCCCGCCGGACCCCACUGCUAUCGAGAUGGGACUAAGGUAUGCUAGUCGAACGACCAGAACUAUGUCUGGGAGUGGCACACUGCUCAGUAACACGUAGCUAACCUACCCUUAGGACGUGGAUACCCCCGAGAAAUUGGGGUUAAUCCGCGAUAGAUGUAAUGUCCUGGAAUGGUAUUACGUCUAAAGGUAUUUCAUACAUGUUUGAAAUAUGCCUAAGGAUGGGGCUGCGGCCGAUCAGGCUGUUGGUGAGGUAAUGGCUCACCAAACCUUUGACCGGUACGGGCCAUGAGAGUGGUAGCCCGGAGAUGGACACUGAGACAAGGGUCCAGGCCCUAAGGGGCGCAGCAACCGCGAAACCUCCACAAUGCACUCACGUGCGAUGGGGCUAUCUCGAGUGCCACCUGAUGAAGGUGGCUUUUCCUUGGUCUUCAAAGCCUUGGGAAUAAGAGGGGGGCAAGACUGGUGUCAGCCGCCGCGGUAACACCAGCCCCUCGAGUGGUGGGGAUGAUUAUUUGGCCUAAAGCGUCCGUAGCCGGCCGUGAAAGUCUUCCGUUAAAUCCAGCGUCUCAAGCGUUGGACCGCGGGAGAUACUACAUGGCUAGAGAGUGGGAGAGGUCAGCGGUAUUCUGGGGGUAGGGGCGAAAUCCUUUGAUCCCCGGAGGACCACCAGUGGCGAAGGCUGCUGACUAGAACACGUCUGACGGUCAGGGACGAAAGCUGGGGUAGCGAACCGGAUUAGAUACCCGGGUAGUCCCAGCCGUAAACGAUGCAUGCUAGGUGUUGGGUUGGCCACGAGCCACCCCAGUGCCGCAGGGAAGCCGUUAAGCAUGCCGCCUGGGAAGUACGAUCGCAAGAUUGAAACUUAAAGGAAUUGGCGGGGGAGCACCACCAGGCGUGAAGCCUGCGGUUUAAUUGGAUUCAACCCGGG
rnacentral:rRNA from 1 species